AUUGAACGCUGGCGGCAGGCCUAACACAUGCAAGUCGAGCGGUAGAGAGGUGCUUGCAUCUCUUGAGAGCGGCGGACGGGUGAGUAAUGCCUAGGAAUCUGCCUAGUGUGGGGGAUAACGUUCGGAAACGGACGCUAAUACCGCAUACGUCCUACGGGAGAAAGCGGGGGAUCUUCGGACCUCGCGCCAUUAGAUGAGCCUAGGUCGGAUUAGCUAGUUGGUGAGGUAAUGGCUCACCAAGGCGACGAUCCGUAACUGGUCUGAGAGGAUGAUCAGUCACACUGGAACUGAGACACGGUCCAGACUCCUACGGGAGGCAGCAGUGGGGAAUAUUGGACAAUGGGCGAAGACCUGAUCCAGCCAUGCCGCGUGUGUG
rnacentral:rRNA from 1 species